AGUCGGAAUUGCUAGUAAUCGUAGGUCAGCAUACUACGGUGAAUACGUUCCCGGGCCUUGUACACACCGCCCGUCAAACCAUGAGAGUUGGCAACACCCGAAGUCGGUAGUCUAACCGCAAGGAGGACGCCGCCGAAGGUGGGGGUUGAUGAUUAGGGUUAAGUCGUAACAAGGUAAC
rnacentral:rRNA from 1 species